AACAGGGAUUGCCCUAGUACGGCGAGUGAAGCGGCAACAGCUCAAAUUUGAAAUCUGGCCUCGGCCCGAGUUGUAAUUUGCAGAGGAUGUUUCUGGCGCGGUGCCUUCCGAGUUCCCUGGAACGGGACGCCACAGAGGGUGAGAGCCCCGUAUGGUUGGACACUAAGCCUGUGUGAAACUCCUUCGACGAGUCGAGUAGUUUGGGAAUGCUGCUCAAAAUGGGAGGUAAAUCUCUUCUAAAGCUAAAUACCGGCCAGAGACCGAUAGCGCACAAGUAGAGUGAUCGAAAGAUGAAAAGCACCUUGAAAAGGGGGUUAAACAGUACGUGAAAUUGUUGAAAGAGAAGCGCUUGUGACCAGACUUGCGCCGGGCGGCUCAUCCGGGGUUCUCCCCGGUGCACUCCGCCCGGCUCAGGCCAGCAUCGGUUCUCGUUGGGGGAUAAGAACGGCAGGAACGUGGCCCUCCUUCGGGUGGGUGUUAUAGCCUGCCGUACGAUACCCUGACGGGGACCGAGGUUCGCGCUCCGCA
rnacentral:rRNA from 1 species